UAACCUGCCCAAGAGAUCGGGAUAACACCUGGAAACAGAUGCUAAUACCGGAUAACAACAGAUGAUGCCUAUCAACUGUUUAAAAGAUGGUUCUGCUAUCACUCUUGGAUGGACCUGCCGUGCAUUAGCUAGUUGGUAGGGUAACGGCCUACCAAGGCGAUGAUGCAUAGCCGAGUUGAGAGACUGAUCGGCCACAUUGGGACUGAGACACGGCCCAAACUCCUACGGAGGCAGCAG
rnacentral:rRNA from 1 species